GAUGAGUAGUUGUAAUCAGGUUAUAACUGUCAUGUGAAAGGCCAAACGUUUUGGCAACAAGAGAUUAUUGUUAAUUGCUAUGAUUACAUGUUCUAUAUUGCAAAUAUGGAUGUUUCAGCUGUAGCUGAAUUCUAUUAGCUUCCUUUAGAUGAAAAGGGAAUUGUUGUAGUUACCUGGCGCUGCUUGCCUAGCGUAUUUAUACCGUUAUAGUUGCAUGCUUCCCUAACCUUAUAGGUCUUUUCUUGUUUAUAUUAACUUCAAACUUUUGACUGACUUACCGGUCCC
rnacentral:lncRNA from 1 species